GUAGGUGGCAAGCGUUGUCCGGAAUUAUUGGGCGUAAAGCGCGCGCAGGCGGUCCUUUAAGUCUGAUGUGAAAGCCCACGGCUCAACCGUGGAGGGUCAUUGGAAACUGGGGGACUUGAGUACAGAAGAGGAAAGCGGAAUUCCACGUGUAGCGGUGAAAUGCGUAGAGAUGUGGAGGAACACCAGUGGCGAAGGCGGCUUUCUGGUCUGUAACUGACGCUGAGGCGCGAAAGCGUGGGGAGCAAACAGGGAUUAGAUACCCUGGUAGUCCACGCCGUAAACGAUGAGUGCUAAGUGUUAGGGGGUUUCCGCCCCCUUAGUGCUGCAGCUAACGCAUUAAGCACUCCGCCUUGGGAGUACGGCCGCAAGGCUG
rnacentral:rRNA from 1 species